GUCCCCUUCUUUUAGAUAGGCAGCACAUACACUAAAAUUGGAACGAUACAGAGAAGAUUUGCAUGGCCCCUGCACAAGGAUGACACACCUGUUCAUUCUUUAU